CUGAGGUGUGGUUUCGAUGAACUUGUGGACAAAGAUUUAAAGACAGGUGGGAAAAUAAGUUCUCUUUUUUGACCUAGACUUCACUAUUCAGUGUGGGUUUUGAUAUGCAUAUAAAGGAAUAUG